GACGAACGCUGGCGGCGUGCUUAACACAUGCAAGUCGAACGGAAAGGCCCUGCUUUUGUGGGGUGCUCGAGUGGCGAACGGGUGAGUAACACGUGAGUAACCUGCCCUUGACUUUGGGAUAACUUCAGGAAACUGGGGCUAAUACCGGAUAGGAGCUCCUGCUGCAUGGUGGGGGUUGGAAAGUUUCGGCGGUUGGGGAUGGACUCGCGGCUUAUCAGCUUGUUGGUGGGGUAGUGGCUUACCAAGGCUUUGACGGGUAGCCGGCCUGAGAGGGUGACCGGCCACAUUGGGACUGAGAUACGGCCCAGACUCCUACGGGAGGCAGCAGUGGGGAAUAUUGCACAAUGGGCGGAAGCCUGAGGCAGCAACGCCGCGUGCGGGAGGACGGCCUUCGGGUUGUAAACCGCUUUCGCCUGUGACGAAGCGUGAGUGACGGGAAUGGGUAAAGAAGCACCGGCUAACUACGG
rnacentral:rRNA from 1 species